ensembl:lncRNA
ACCCUGGAGUGGCCGGGUCAGGACGCAUAGCCCUCCUCUUGGCGCUGCCUUCGCCCCCCACCUCCGAGUGCCCCCACUUGCCCUGGUCCCGGGGUUCCCAUGUACAGGGGGAUACGAGUUCCUCCUGGGAUCAGCGCUCUGUUCACUGCCCCCUCAAAAAAAAGCCUGGGCUCCUGGUGCGGCUGCACCCGACUCGCAGCAGCGCACCCCUCCUCUUGCUGACGCCCCAGGGCCCGGGAGAGACCGGCGACGGGGAGCGCAGGCGACGCCCGGCGCCGGGAUGCUCCAGCGUGCCUCCGGGUGCGCGGGGUGCGCAGGGGGGCCCCGGCGCCCUGCGCGGUCAGCGGUGGUGGGCAGGGGUGCCUGGCGUGCUCCGGUCGCCCGGCGCCCGCGCUACCUCGGGGAGACCUCUGCCGCCGCCCGAGCGCGCAUCCCGGCCCGGGGGCGCUCCCUGCCGGCCGCCGCGCGCACCAGCCAGGCUGAGCCCCGGCAGCAGAGCUGCGGGCGCCUCUGUCCCCCCACCCCCAGGGCGGGCCAGGCCUCCGGUGCUGCGGCUCCAUCACCCACGCCCUCGGGGCUGAGCUGCCUCACUGCGCAGGCGCGGAGGUGCGCACCUGCUCCUUUGAGACGCUCACCUGUCCUUGUUCUUACCGGCAGGAGGGUGAGUGUUUGGCGCGCCUCCAUGCUGGAAUCUCAGAGUCCAGGAGCCUUGCAUCUCCAUAGAGCGGGGACCCCACGAGGAACCUGGCCAGCAGGGCUGGAAGGUCUAGGACCCUUAACCAGGCUGGAGAGCUUCUAGAGGCGCAGAAAGAAGCUCAGAGUCCCAGUGGAGGCAGCUGCAGGAGUUUGCUGGAAACAUCUGGAAGGAUAUCUGGUGUGAUGGGGAGGGACAGGCCCGCCAUAAAACAUAUCCACCCCGCCGGGGCUCCUCCGAGCCAGACAAAUCGCCCACGCUCUGGGGGAUGAUAACUCUGCCACCAAUCUUCCCUCCUGUCAGCACAAAACUGUUCAAUCAACAGGAGUGUGAGCUGUGUCUUUUGUGAAAUUAGCACAGGAGGAAAUACAACCUGGGCUGGGGACUGGGGCCGUGGGUGCAGGAAGGGGCCAAACCACUGUGGGCGAUGACCUUGAACACACGCCUUGCCUGCCGGCUUCUCGGCCUGAGUCUGGGUCUUAGGAGGGCACAUCCGUGAGACGGCAAGCAUACUGCCCAGGAGGAAACCAAGGCCACCAAGACGCCGGGCUGUGUGGUCUCCUCCUUCCCACGGUGAGAGGCUGAGUCCCAGUCUGGGAGCUCAGACCCUGGCAGCUCCGCGUGGACUCUGCACCCUGAGGUCCUCACUCACAGCCACUGGGGAUGAGACCUCCAGCUCACAGGUGGAGGCUGGACACCUAGGGAGGUUACGUAGAUUAGCCCACCCACUGAGGAGCC